rnacentral:rRNA from 1 species
UACGUAGGGUGCGAGCGUUGUCCGGAAUUAUUGGGCGUAAAGAGCUCGUAGGCGGUCUGUUGCGUCCGCUGUGAAAACUCGGGGCUUAACCCCCGAGCCUGCAGUGGAUACGGGCAGACUAGAGGUAGGUAGGGGAGAAUGGAAUUCCCGGUGUAGCGGUGAAAUGCGCAGAUAUCUGGAGGAACACCGGUGGCGAAGGCGGCCAUCUGGACCGCAACUGACGCUGAGGCGCGAAAAGCGUGGGGAGCAAACAGGG